GCAUCUAAUAUAUUUGUAUAUUUAAUAUAUUAUCCCUAUUAUGCAAUAGGUUAUGGAUUCACUAUUUGCCGACAAAGCGUCCAUUUCGCCUCCUGCAAUUGCUACAAGUGAUGGUCCAUCGGAUCCAAAUCAGGAAGGAUCGUCGUUAUCAGUAUUUUCUUCCGUUAAAUCAAAAAAUCCGCCGAAAAAGAGAAAACGGAUCGAAAACAUUAUGGAAGAAUUUUUGGAUAAUAUUGCGGCAGAAAAAGAAGAAAAAAAAGAAGAAAU